GUGGGGAGUCUUGCGCAAUGGGCGAAAGCCUGACGCAGCCAUGCCGCGUGAAUGAUGAAGGUCUUAGGAUUGUAAAAUUCUUUCACCGGGGACGAUAAUGACGGUACCCGGAGACGAAGCUCCGGCUAACUUCGUGCCAGCAGCCGCGGUAAUACGAAGGGGGCUAGCGUUGCUCGGAAUUACUGGGCGUAAAGGGCGCGUAGGCGGACAGCUUAGUCAGAGGUGAAAGCCCAGGGCUCAACCUUGGAAUUGCCUUUGAUACUGGCUGUCUUGAGUUUGGGAGAGGUGAGUGGAACUCCGAGUGUAGAGGUGAAAUUCGUAGAUAUUCGGAAGAACACCAGUGGCGAAGGCGACUCACUGGCCCAAUACUGACGCUGAGGCGCGAAAGCGUGGGGAGCAAACAGGAUUAGAAACCCGGGUAGUCC
rnacentral:rRNA from 1 species